rnacentral:rRNA from 1 species
CGUUCCCUACGGGAGGCAGCAGUGAGGAAUAUUGGUCAAUGGGAGAGAUCCUGAACCAGCCAAGCCGCGUGAGGGAAGACGGUCCUAUGGAUUGUAAACCUCUUUUGUCGGGGAGCAAAGAGGCCACGUGUGGUCAAAAGCGAGAGUACCCGAAGAAAAAGCAUCGGCUAACUCCGUGCCAGCAGCCGCGGUAAUACGGAGGAUGCGAGCGUUAUCCGGAUUUAUUGGGUUUAAAGGGUGCGUAGGCGGGACGGUAAGUCAGCGGUAAAAAUGCGGUGCUCAACGCCGUACAGCCGUUGAAACUG